rnacentral:rRNA from 1 species
UUUAUGGAGAGUUUGAUCCUGGCUCAGGAUGAACGCUGGCGGCGUGCCUAAUACAUGCAAGUCGAGCGAACGGAUGAGAAGCUUGCUUCUCUGAUGUUAGCGGCGGACGGGUGAGUAACACGUGGAUAACCUACCUAUAAGACUGGGAUAACUUCGGGAAACCGGAGCUAAUACCGGAUAAUAUUUUGAACCGCAUGGUUCAAAAGUGAAAGACGGUCUUGCUGUCACUUAUAGAUGGAUCCGCGCUGCAUUAGCUAGUUGGUAAGGUAACGGCUUACCAAGGCAACGAUGCAUAGCCGACCUGAGAGGGUGAUCGGCCAUACUGGAACUGAGACACGGUCCAGACUCCUACGGGAGGCAGCAGUAGGGAAUCUUCCGCAAUGGGCGAAAGCCUGACGGAGCAACGCCGCGUGAGUGAUGAAGGUCUUCGGAUCGUAAAACUCUGUUAUUAGGGAAGAACAUAUGUGUAAGUAACUGUGCACAUCUUGACGGUACCUAAUCAGAAAGCCACGGCUAACUACGU